rnacentral:rRNA from 1 species
GCUUACCAUGCAACUUGAACGAAGCAAUUUUGAGCUUACUUGAGAUUGACUUAGUAGCGGACGGGUGAGUAACGCGUGAGUAACCUACCUUUGUGAGGGGGACAACAGCUGGAAACGGCUGCUAAUACCGCAUAAGGCCACAGCAUCGAGUGAUGCAGUGGUAAAAGAUUUAUCGCACAAAGAUGGACUCGCGUCCCAUUAGCUAGUUGGUAAGGUAACGGCUUACCAAGGCAUCGAUGGGUAGCCGACCUGAGAGGGUGAUCGGCCACACUGGAACUGAGACACGGUCCAGACUCCUACGGGAGGCAGCAGUGGGGAAUAUUGGGCAAUGGGCGCAAGCCUGACCCAGCAACGCCGCGUGAGGGAAGAAUGUCUUCGGAUUGUAAACCUCUGUCCUUGGGGACGAAAAAAAUGACGGUACCCAAGGAGGAAGCUCCGGCUAACUACGUGCCAGCAGCCGCGGUAAUACGUAGGGAGCAAGCGUUGUCCGGAAUUAUUGGGCGUAAAGGGCGCGUAG